CAACCCUUAAGCUCAGCUUAGUAUUGGGAAUCUACUGUGAGUGGUGCUACCCUGUAGCUACCCUGUAGUUCCUCAAAUCGAACGGCGGAGUUACAGUUAUCUCUGAGCGCAGUAAUUUUUAUCACGCUUUGGAAGAUGCUGUAAUCCCAGCCGCUAAACACCCAAUUUUUUAAU
rnacentral:misc_RNA from 1 species